GAUCUUGGCUCAGAACGAACGCUGGCGGCGCGUCUUAAGCAUGCAAGUCGAGCGGGAGGGGCAGCGAUGCCCCGAGAGCGGCGGACGGGUGAGUAACGCGUGGACAACCGACCCUCCGGUGGGGGGAUAGCCGAGCGAAAGCGCGGAUAAUACCGCAUGAGACGGAGCGGGGGCGGCCCUGUUCCGGGAAAGCGCCUGCGGGCGCGCCGGGGGACGGGUCUGCGUCCCAUCAGCUAGACGGCGGGGUGAAGGCCCACCG
rnacentral:rRNA from 1 species